rnacentral:rRNA from 1 species
UACGAAGGUGGCAAGCGUUGUUCGGAUUCACUGGGCGUACAGGGAGCGUAGGCGGUUGGGUAAGCCCUCCGUGAAAUCUCCGGGCCUAACCCGGAAAGUGCAGAGGGGACUGCUCAGCUAGAGGAUGGGAGAGGAGCGCGGAAUUCCCGGUGUAGCGGUGAAAUGCGUAGAGAUCGGGAGGAAGGCCGGUGGCGAAGGCGGCGCUCUGGAACAUUUCUGACGCUGAGGCUCGAAAGCGUGGGGAGCAAACAGGAUUAGAUACCCUGGUAGUCCACGCCUUAAACUAUGGAUACUAAGUGUCGGCGGUUUACCGCCGGUGCCGCAGCUAACGCAAUAAGUAUCCCGCCUGGGAAGUACGGCCGCAAGGUUGAA